GGUAAAAUAAACCACUGCCGCAGCAUUUUGCCUUUUAGGAUAAUUUUAUGGCUCCUUAGGAGGUUUCAGCACUCACUUUAAAGGUGACAUUCUCUGCAAAAAUACUUUAAUCCCUAUAUGUCACCAAUGAUCUGUGAUUCCUUUGGUUAGAUUUUAAUUUAGAUUCUACAUAAGCAUUCGAAAUCCUCCUUGCUAAAAAUAAGAAGAAAAUAAUAGUACAGAUUAAAUCUUUAGUGGCUUCAUUGCUUUAUAGAGGAACUUAGCCACAUUUACGUUGCAUUGCGAAUGUGUGGCUGUUUUCUCAAAUACAAGGAAGUCAUGCUGAUGUUUCUUCAAGGUCGGUUUGAUCAAAUCACAUUAGGCAAAGGACUUUAAGCUGGUCUUCUAGCAGAAGAAGCCUGGAAAGACUGAUGUUUGCAAAGCCUAGGUCUACAGGCCUUGUAGCUAAGGUGACUCAGACAAACCCCAUUGCUUCUGGGCCUCAGAGGUUUUGUAUUUAAAAUGAAGAUCAGACCAUGGAUCUCACACAGUUGCCUAUGACUGCUCUUCUAUGAGAUUGAGAGGAGUUUGUGACCUGCCUUUCAUACUUUCUUGAAGAAAAAUUAAUCAUUUUAAGUAUUCUUUUCUAUCACAGUUUUCUUCCACUCAGAAAUAUCUUCAACCUGCAGAUCCAAAAAUAAGAUGAACAGUUAUUGAAACAUCCUUUGUUAGUCUUUAAAGGACGACCCUGACACGUCUGACACAUUAAAUCAGGAAUGGCACGGCAGCGUCUUUGAUAUCAGGCAUUGGCAAUAAUGAAUGAAUAAUGAAAAGAUCUGGUUUCCUAUUCUGACUCGGCUGUUGACUGUCUCUGGGGUUCUGGGCAAGUCAUUACCUUCUCUUUUACUUCAAGUCUCCUAUUUACAAGAUGAGGCUAGCACUCAUGCCCCUCUUACGGAAAGGAACAAAGCAAAUAUUUGGACAUAGAAACAAAAAUGUGCCUGCAAACUGUAAAAUGGGAAGCAAAGGCUACUACUAUUAUUUCAAUUGUUACAACCCAGUGUACAGAGAACAGAAACACAUGCGAUUCAAAUACAAGUCAGUGAGCUGAAAUGUCUUUCAUGCCUGUUACAGGCCGUUAGCAAAAGUUACAUUUUCUGUCAAUCUGACACAUCAUUAGAAUCAUUAUGUGUAAGUCCCGAUUCAAUGUUUUGUAAUGUUUUUAAAGACUAAAACUCACUAAAUUUAAUGUUUAGUAAUAGAGUAGGGGCUUUAUUCAUCUGUUCAUUCAUUGUGCUCCUUGACUGCACGUCUGAUCCAUGCUGACAACCUACUGGGCGUCAGCACUGUGUCAAGCUCAGUUCCGUUGGCUGACCAGGUAGACUCUACCCGUGGGCAAAGGACAAUGCAUAGAAACAGCAGCAGAAAGAAGAAGAGAAAGGAGAAAGGAAGAGGCAGCCAGCUGCCUGGCGCUCAGCAGCCGUUCAUGCACGAGUUCCCAGGCCAAAGGCAGCACUGGCCACAUCCACCUGUAUAAAGAGUCAGCUGACCUAUCACAGGCUCGCUGGCGUGGUGAUGAGACCGGGGCUUGUCCUUCCAGUGUAGCUUUCAGUCCGACUGCGGAGUGGAGGCACUGGCUCCCGGGCUUACUCUCCUGGGCUAUUGGGCAGCUUACUCAGCCUUCCUUUUCUUUAGUUUGGUGUUUUCAUUUGUAAAAUGAAGACACUGAUGCGUGCAUGACAGGGACUCUUCUGAUGCCUCCGUGUCGAUGGCCACCAAGCCCUGAGAACCCUGCCGGCACCCAGCACCCCAUGCCAGCCAGCACCGCUACGGCUGCCAUCCAUCAGGGCUGAACCCUGCCGGCACCCAGCACCCCAUGCCAGCCAGCACCGCUACGGCUGCCAUCCAUCGGGGCUGAAUCCUGCCGGCACCCAGCACCCCAUGCCAGCCAGCACCGCUACGGCUGCCAUCCAUCGGGGCUGAACCCUGCCGGCACCCAGCACCCCAUGCCAGCCAGCACUGCUACAGGCUGCCAUCCAUCGGGGCUGAACUCUGGCGUUUGAUCAUUCGGGGCUAGUUCCACUUCACAUACUCAUAAGGAAACAAGUGUUUCUCUUUCUGCUUUUUUGCCCCAUAUUUCAUUGCUGUAAAAGCCAGUGGCUAAGAUGAAGAUUGCAGCAUUUAAAAAUUCUUUAUUGAUUGGCUUUGCUUCCUCUACAAAAGCAGCUGCCAAAUUUAAUCUGAGAAACUGCUUUUAUAUUCAAGAAAUUCUAUGCACCUUAAAAAAAUAAUGGUAGAGGGGAUGAAACAUCCACUUAACUGAAAGAAGUUAGAAUCUGGGGAUUAGCCCAACCAAGGAAGCCACAGUCCUGUCUAAAUGUUUAUUUGUCAUUUUCCCAUAAAGAUUCAUGGGGCAUAUUGUCUUGAAAUUGCCACUGAAAUUGUUGACUGGGGAGAGGAGACAAAAGAGAUGGGCGAGGGAGUCCAGGGUGUGGAAUUUAUGAAACUUUGUCUUUUGUAGUUGUAGUUCUAGAAAGUCAAGGCCUUUUAAGUUAAUUGUAAAAACACAUUUGACAUUUUCAUAUUGAAGGCACUGGCCCUGAGCUGUUCUCUUCUGUGUCUGUCAUGUCGGCAUGCUGUGAAUUUGGCUGGUGAGAUGCCAGGGCCUCUGGGGACCUCCAUGACCUGCCAGCAUGCAGGUUACGGGUGAUUCCCGCGAUCGCGUGUUUGGAUUAAACCAGGUUCAGCGGGAGUCGCCUGGUCCAGACACACUGGACCCCGGUGACUUGGGUCCUGACACAGACUGGCCGAGCUGGGGGCGUCCCCAGAGACCAGAGACCCUGGGAAUGGCGAGCAUCGAGGCGCGGAGUUGCAUGGAAGACCCAGGGCCCGCUGUGCUGCUGACUGCUCCAGGACUCACAGGCGGCUGGACCUCCAUGGAGGUGACCCCCACAGUCUGCUCUCCUCAUGAUUCUGCCAAGUUUUAGUCCCAGGGCACUUAACAUAGGCUUUGGGACUCCCUUGCCGAGCCACACGUCCCCAGUGUGUGGGUGGGAGUCAGCAGGGGAGGAAGCCCCCGCCAUGAGCCCAAAGCCCCUCCAGGAACGUGCGGGACUUGGGUUCCAUGAACUCUUGAAGGAGCUUACCUUGAAAAUAAGUCACUGAAGAUGCUUCCUGUGCCUCUGGCAACAGAACCCAUCCAGCUCUCUGCUCUACAUGUUCCGAAACAACCCCUGUACUGGUCCAGCUGUGGCCGUCAGGGGCAUCCAGUCCUAGGAGUGCAUGGCCUACGUGUAGCACAAACAGGAGGGGUUGGUCCUGCCAGGCACCCGCUGCGGUGGCCAGGCCCAAGCACCCGAACCACGUGGUUUAGAAAGGUCUUUUUGCAAAGGUGCUUGCUGCUGAGCCCGUGAGGCUGCUGUGGUGUGCAAGUGUACAGAUGGUGCUGUCUGGUGAGCCCACCCGAGUAGGUCCUCGAGCUGGAUGACACAUUUGAAGAAUAGUCCUAAUCAAUAAGGUGCACAGUCGGACACUGGGCAGCCAACGCAGCUGACCGACUUGGAAUUUUUUCUGUAUCCACAAACACACAUUUGGCAAACCACUGAACACUGGUUAGGUGCCUGGAGUUUUGCUAGACACUGAAGAUAAAUACACAGAUGAGGCAAAACUGGCUUUUUUUUUUUUUUUUUUGCUAGGAGAGUUCAGAUAUUGUGUUGACAGCUGAGCAGGUCAUAUUUGUAGGAAUCCAAAUUUUUAUUAAAUGGUAUAAACCUCUGCUUAUUUGUUCUAAAUUUCUCCAUGAUGCACAUGGAAUCCAGUGCUGUCCAUGGUCCCUGGGGUCCUUACACUCUCAGAAACCGAGAAUAACACCUCUUUGCAAACCACAAGCCAAGAUUCUUUAUGUAAAUGUUAUUGGAGAGAAAGAAGGGACUUGGGCAUCUCACUAAGCCUCUCCAUGCCCUGCAAGAAAGUGUUUUUGCGAAGUCCCAGAAAUGGCGCUGAAUGAGGCUCUGUGCUAUGGGCGUGGCUGCUUUGCAGGUGGAGCAUGGAGACGUGGCCGCAGGGCUGAGGGUUUCGCAUUGGAGGAUUAAUAUGACCGUCAGCAGCUCAGCCGCUCUCUCUUUCUGGGUGGGUUUCAUCUUGGUAAAUGUGGAUUCUCAGACUGGCCCUGAGGAAAUCUCGUUCCGUUUUCCUGCAGAUUAUCUGAGUCUGCAGAGAUGGGGUCCUUGAGUGACCCAGGAGGCUGACAGGAGACACCAGGUGGAAGAGCCAUGUGGGAAGUAGCCUCACGUGCAGACAGCAAGCACUCCACCUGCCUGGCCCAUCUCCUGUGUAAGAGAGAGCCCUUAGCAUCCUGCCACACCCACCACUGGGUCACUGAGCUACCUCCCGGGAGUGUCAGCAUUUUGGGUUUUGGGUUUUUUUUUUGAGACAGUGUCUCACUCUGUUUCCCAGCCUGGAGGGCAGUGGUACAAUCUUGGCUCACUGCAGGCUCAACCUCCUGGGCUCAAGCAAUCCUCCCACUUCAAGUUCCCGAGUAGCUGGGACUACAGGCGUGCGCCACCACACCAGGCUAAUUUUUGUGUUUUAGUAGAGAUGGGGUGUCACUAUGUUGCCCUGGCUGAUCUCGAACUCCAGACUCAGGCAAUCUUCCAGCCUUUGUCUUCCAAAGUGCUGGGAUUACAGGCUUGAGCCACUGUGCCCGGCCGUCAUUGGCAUUUUGAGAAACAGAAAAUGCUCCGUGAACAUGAGUAACAUGCAUUAUCGUUCCUUCCUCCUCCCUUCAUCCUUCCUCCCCUCCCUCCUCCAUGGUAUCAUCAUCCUUCUUAUCACUGGGCUUUGAUGCAGGAAUGGGCGUGCCUGGUCUGCAUGUCACAUGCCUCUGGCCCUGGACUCUUGAUCUUGUGGAUCCAGAUGUACAACAUUCAGUACUCUGUGUUAUUCUUCCUAAAACUUGAGCUUUGCCAACAUUUCAAUGGUCACUUUGGCUCCGCCGUCCUUAUUGCUCCUGGAAGCUUAGGGACCCAGGGCCCUUCCAACCUACUCGGGCCUACUGUGUCCUCUUGUAUUUUGUGAACAAGCACAGUUUGGGGAUAUUUGGGUUUAAGCCCCAGAUCUUCCACAUUAGCUGUGUGACUUGAGCAGCUUUUGUAGAUUUUGGGGUGGUAGUGGAAUGAGGGCAACAAAGCCUUUUUGUAAGAAUAAAUGUGAGUUAAGUGCCAUCCAUCGGAAGCAGGCAAGGGCUUUAUAACCUCCCACACCGGCGCUUUGACUACAUCACGCACCGCACACGGGUGUUUCAGUCAAAGACAAACUGCAGGUGCAGCGGUGGCCCUGUAAGAUUAUCAUCAGCUGGAAGACUCCUACUGUCCAGUGACCUCAUAGCCGUCACAAUGCAUGACUCACGUGUGACUUACCCUGGUAGAGAAACCCCCUGUGCAGCCACCGUACGGAAGUGUAGCCGUAGAGGGAUGCGCAGUGCAUCUUGUGAUGGUGCUGACAGACGACCAUGUUGCUGGUUUAUGCAUCUGGGAUACUGUACGUUUCAUUAUUAUUUUAGAGUGCGCUCCUUCUGCUUGUGGAAAACCAUUAUCUGUAAAGAGCCCUGGGCCAGUCCUUCAGGAGGUGUCCGGAAGAAGGCACUGUGGUCGUAGGCGAUGGCAGCUCCACGUCUGUCACCGCCACUGCCCCUUAAGUCCUAACAGUGGGACAGGAAGUGAAGCUGGAAGAUGGUGAUAUCGACAGUCCUGACCCUGCGCAGGUAGAGGCUGAUGUGUUUUUGGGUCUUAGUGCUUAACAAGAGAGUUUAAAAAGUAAAUUUAAAAAUUAAAGAUUAAAAAUAGUAAAAGGGUUAUAGAAUAAGAAUAUAAAGAAAAAUAUUUGUACAGCUGUACAAUGCAUUUGUGUUUUAAGCUCAGCCUUACAAGAGAGUCAAACAGUUUUAAAAAUAAAAUAAAGUACAAGAGUUACAGUGUGUGUAUGAGUCUGGGUUCUCUAGAGGGACAGGACUAAUAGGAUAGGUGUAUAUAUGAAAGGGAGUUUAUUGAGGAGAAUUGACUCACAACCACAAGGUGAACUCCCACCACAAGCCGUCUGCAAGCUGAGGAACCAGGAAGCCAGUCCGAGGCCCAAAACCUCAAAAGCAGGGAAGCCGGCAGUGCAGCCUUCAGUCUGUGGCCAAAGGCCUGAGAGCCCCGGGCAAACCACUGGUGUGAGUCCAAGAGUCCAAAAGCUGAAGAACUUGGAGUCUGAUGUUCAAGGGCAGGAGGCAUCCAGCAUGGGAGAAACAUGGAGGCUGGAAGACUCAGCCAGUCCAGUCCUUCCACCUUCCUCUGCCUGCUUUUAUCCUAGCCGUGCUGGCAGCCGAAUAGAUGGUGCCCACCCAGACUGAGGGUGGGUCUGCCUCUCCCAGCCCACUGACUCCAGUGUUAAUCUCCUUUGGAAACACCCUCACAGACAACCCAGGACAAUACUUUGCAUCCUUCAAUCCAAUCAGGUUGACACUCCAUAUUAACCAUCACAGUAUGCUAAGGUUAACUUAUUAUUGAGGAAUGAAAAGUAUUUUUUGAAAAUUGAAUGUAGCCCAAGUUUGCAGUGUGUGUAGAGUCUACAGUAGCAUACAGUGAUGUCUCGGGCCGCGCAUUCACUCCCCACUCACCCAUUCACUCACCCACUUACCCAUUCACCCACCCACUCACCCGGUCACCCAGAGCAGCUUCGGGUUCUGCAAGUUCCAUUCAUGGUGAGUGUCCUCUGCAGACGUACCAUUUUUAACCUUUUGUACCAUAUUUUUACUGUAGCUUUUCUAUGUGGAGACAUGUUGAGAUACACAACUUCUUACCCCUGUGUUACAGUUUUCUACAGUCUUCAGUGCAGUCACACGCUGUGCAGGUGCAGCCUGGGAGCAGGAGGCCUAUGCCGUUCGGCCCAGGCGUGUAGGGGCGACGCCAUCCGGGUCUGCGUUCAGCCCAGGCGCGUAAGGGUGACGCCAUCCGGGUCUGCGUUCAGCCCAGGCGCGUAGGGGUGACGCCAUCCGGGUCUCCGUUCAGCCCAGGCGCGUAAGGGUGACGCCAUCCGGGUCUGCGUUCAGCGCAGGCGCGUAAGGGUGACGCCAUCCGGGUCUGCGUUCAGCCCAGGCGCGUAAGGGUGACGCCAUCCGGGUCUGCGUUCAGCCCAGGCGCGUAAGGGUGACGCCAUCCGGGUCUCCGUUCAGCCCAGGCAUGCAGGCGCGAAGCCAUGCGGACAAAUAGAACGUUGCAGGCAGAAGGACGGAGUGCGCAGAGAGACAGGGUCUCGAAACUGAAACGGCAACGUGAGCAGUAUGUCUCCUGCUCACCUUCUUCCCGCCAUCCCCUAGGCUGCUUUGGAUGAGCCACAUGUGCCCACCCUCUCCCCACCAUCCCCCAGACUGCUUCCGAUGAGCCACGUGUGCACACAGGGCCUGGCAUUUGAGGGCAGAGAUGUUGCAUAGUGAGGUGCUUGCUCUGGAGGCCUCUUGUGUGAAGAGACAUGAGACUGUUGAUGGGCUGAAUGUCCUCAUCCCUAGACAAUGACAGUGAACGGAGUUUUUAUUAAGGUCACAGUAUAUUUUGAUAUUUGAGCACCUAUGAUGUGCAAGUCACCAGAGCCACACUCUAGUAAGUGAUAGAGUGAGGAUGUAAAGAUACAGAUGUGGUUUAAAGACUCUUCUCAACCUCUGAGCUCAGCUACCUCUCAGGUCCCAUUAUUCUAGAAAGCAGAAAUGUGAGAUUUUACUCCUCUUCAUUUUAAGAAGAAAAAAAGGAAGUCUGUUAAAGUAAGGGGAGAAAAGACCCUGAUACAACUUCCACCAAAUAUAAAACAGACAUAGCCCUAAAUUGUGGUAUAAAUCGGGUAUCUAUUUUGAGUUCAAGUUCUCCUUUAGCAUACUUUUAAAUUCAGGGUGUUACAGUUUAUUGAAUUUAACAUUAAAAUGGACUCACGUGGGAAAUGGAGUCAAUAUUUUAUACAUUGAAUUUUGCGUUACGUUUCAAAAGUGAAUGUAAAUAUACAGGUGUAAAACCAGCUGGAUGGCACACAGGCACUCCGCUGCGAGUGCACGGCCCACCCUGCCCGAAUGCAGAGAAACACUAGAAGCUCUUGAGCCAGCAGAGAGAAAACCCAGAGAGUCUGAGUGGAAUCUGUUAGCCGUGCAAAUGUUACACAAUGCACAUUUGCUAUGACACAAAUCUAAGACUAAAGGGGGAAAACGGCAGAAAUUUUAGAAGACUCAUGGGCUCUCCUGAAUAAAAAUCCUGCUGAACUAGUGACCGGCUGAGCGUGGAUUGUCGGGUGAGCCGCCCUCUGGGUCCUGAAGGGCCCUUGGUGUCUCUUUACAGAGAAGCAACCCCGACAUUGGUGGAGGCAAGCGCUCGUGGCAGAUGAACCUGCAGAUGAGGCUGGGCACUGCCCAGCUUAUGAGGACAAAUGGCUCUUUUUAUAUUCCAGCAACCACGGAACUCUCUGGAGUGCCCAGGGCUGUUUUAGGACAUCCUAAACUGCUACUUUCAUGCCAAGUUUGGAGGACUGUCUUCUGAAAUAUCUUUUAUAAAAACAAAUUUAAUGCAAAAGCACGUAAGUCUACAUGAAACCCUCCCAGCACGGGUUUUCCAGCCAAAUGGUAGGGGCAUACAUAGAAAAAUGAAACAUUUGUGGUUGUGUUUUCAAGGCAGAAAAGAUGCUGAAGGGAAAAGUCUAUGUUCGAAACAUAAUCCCAGAAUAAAAAGCUCCAAGAAAUGCAGUUUUGAGGAAGUAUUAUCUAAACAAAGAGAUGUAUUAAUAUAAUUGAUGUGCAAUAUUUAUUCAGUGUUAAUCUUUUCAUUAAAAUGCAUCCUGAGUUUUCAUAAAUUCUGGCAGAUUUAAUUAUGUAUAUACUGCUUAUCGUUGUAUUUUAAAAUUGCAUAAAAUUACGUUACUUAUGUCUGUGCUUCUUAAAUAAUAGAAAUGUCUUCACGCCCCUA